rnacentral:snRNA from 1 species
GUGCUUGCUUUGGUAGCACAGAUAGUAAAACUAGAGUGAUGCACAGAAGAUUAGCGUGCCCCCUGUGCAAGGAUGACAUGAAACUCACAAAGCGUUCUCUAUUUUU